rnacentral:rRNA from 1 species
GAUGAACGCUGGCGGCGUGCCUAAUACAUGCAAGUCGAGCGAACAGAUGAGGAGCUUGCUCCUCUGGCGUUAGCGGCGGACGGGUGAGUAACACGUGGAUAACCUACCUAUAAGACUGGGAUAAUUUCGGGAAACCGGAGCUAAUACCGGAUAAUAUAUUGAACCGCAUGGUUCAAUAGUGAAAGACGGUUUUGCUGUCACUUAUAGAUGGAUCCGCGCCGCAUUAGCUAGUUGGUAAGGUAACGGCUUACCAAGGGAACGAUGCGUAGCCGACCUGAUAGGGUGAUCGGCCACACUGGAACUGAGACACGGUCCAGACUCCUGCGAGAGGCAGCAGUAGGGAAUCUUCCGCAGUGGGCGAAAGCCUGACGGAGCAACGCCGCGUGAGUGAUGAAGGUCUUCGGAUCGUAAAACUCUGUUAUUAGGGAAGAACAAAUGUGUAAGUAACUAUGCACGUCUUGACGGUACCUAAUCAGAAAGCCACGGCUAACUACGUG